UAGGGAAUAUUGGGCAAUGGGGGCAACCCUGACCCAGCAACGCCGCGUGAGGGAAGAAGGUUCUCUGGAUUGUAAACCUCUGUCCUAUGGGACGAAGAAGUGACGGUACCAUAGGAGGAAGCUCCGGCUAACUACGUGCCAGCAGCCGCGGUAAUACGUAGGGAGCGAGCGUUGUCCGGAAUUACUGGGCGUAAAGGGUGCGUAGGCGGCCUGGUAAGUCAGAUGUGAAAUACCCGUGCUCAACAUGGGGGGUGCAUCUGAUACUGUUAGGCUUGAGUGCAGGAGAGGAAAGCGGAAUUCCUAGUGUAGCGGUGAAAUGCGUAGAUAUUAGGAGGAACACCAGUGGCGAAGGCGGCUUUCUGGACUGUAACUGACGCUGAGGCACGAAAGCGUGGGGAGCAAACA
rnacentral:rRNA from 1 species